rnacentral:rRNA from 1 species
CCUAAGCCGAGGCCGACAGGCGUAGGCGAUGGACAACAGGUUGAUAUUCCUGUACCACCUCCUCACCAUUUGAGCAAUGGGGGGACGCAGGAGGAUAGGGUAAGCGCGGUAUUGGAUAUCCGCGUCCAAGCAGUUAGGCUGGGAAAUAGGCAAAUCCGUUUCCCAUAAGGCUGAGCUGUGAUGGCGAGCGAAAUAUAGUAGCGAAGUUCCUGAUUCCACACUGCCAAGAAAAGCCUCUAGCGAGGUGAGAGGUGCCCGUACCGCAAACCGACACAGGUAGGCGAGGAGAGAAUCCUAAGGUGAUCGAGAGAACUCUCGUUAAGGAACUCGGCAAAAUGACCCCGUAACUUCGGGAGAAGGGGUGCUCUGUUAGGGUGCAAGCCCGAGAGAGCCGCAGUGAAUAGGCCCAGGCGACUGUUUAGCAAAAACACAGCUCUCUGCGAAGCCGUAAGGCGAAGUAUAGGGGCUGACGCCUGCCCGGUGCUGGAAGGUUAAGAGGAGCGCUUAGCGUAAGCGAAGGUGCGAAUUGAAGCCCCAGUAAACGGCGGCCGUAACUAUAACGGUCCUAAGGUAGCGAAAUUCCUUGUCGGGUAAGUUCCGACCCGCACGAAAGGCGCAACGAUCUGGGCACUGUCUCAACGAGAGACUCGGUGAAAUUAUAGUACCUGUGAAGAUGCAGGUUACCCGCGACAGGACGGAAAGACCCCGUGGAGCUUUACUGCAGCCUGAUAUUGAAUGUUGGUACAGCUUGUUCAGGAUAGGUAGGAGCCUUGGAAACC